GACGAACGCUGGCGGCGUGCUUAACACAUGCAAGUCGAACGGAAAGGCCCUGCUUUUGUGGGGUGCUCGAGUGGCGAACGGGUGAGUAACACGUGAGUAACCUGCCCUUGACUUUGGGAUAACUUCAGGAAACUGGGGCUAAUACCGGAUAGGAGCUCCUGCUGCAUGUUGGGGGUUGGAAAGUUUCGGCGGUUGGGGAUGGACUCGCGGCUUAUCAGCUUGUUGGUGGGGUAGUGGCUUACCAAGGCUUUGACGGGUAGCCGGCCUGAGAGGGUGACCGGCCACAUUGGGACUGAGAUACGGCCCAGACGCCUACGGGAGGCAGCAGUGGGGAAUAUUGCACAAUGGGCGGAAGCCUGAUGCAGCAACGCCGCGUGCGGGAUGACGGCCUUCGGGUUGUAAACCGCUUUCGCCUGUGACGAAGCGUGAGUGACGGUAAUGGGUAAAGAAGCACCGGCUAACUACGUG
rnacentral:rRNA from 1 species